rnacentral:rRNA from 1 species
GACGAACCGUGCGAACGUUAUUCGGAAUCACUGGGCUUAAAGCGCGUGUAGGCGGGCCGCCGCGUCGGCUGCUGAAAUCCCCCGGCUCAACCGGGGAAGGGGCACCGAUACGGGCGGCCUGGAGGGGGGUAGGGGGGCCUGGAACUUCCGGUGGAGCGGUGAAAUGCGUAGAGAUCGGGAGGAACACCAGAGGCGAAGGCGGCGACCUGGACAGUUACUGACGCUGAGGAGCGAAAGCGUGGGGAGCGAACAGG